GAUGAAGAACGCAGCGAAAUGCGAUAAGUAAUGUGAAUUGCAGAAUUCCGUGAAUCAUCGAAUCUUUGAACGCAUAUUGCGCCCCCUGGUAUUCAGGGGGGCAUGCCUGUCCGAGCGUCAUUGCAACCUUCAAGCGCGGCUUGUGUGUUGGGUCUCGUCCCCCGUGGACGGGCCCGAAAGGCAGUGGCGGCGUCCCGACAUGGUGCCCGAGCGUAUGGGAAUCCUCUUCCGCUCGAAUCGGCCCAUGCGGCGCUGGUCGUAACCAAAUUUUUUACCGGUUGACCUCGGAUCAGGUAGGGAUACCCGCUGAACUUAAGCAUAUCAAUAAGCGGAGGA
rnacentral:misc_RNA from 1 species